UGGGUAACCUACCUAUAAGACUGGGAUAACUCCGGGAAACCGGGGCUAAUACCGGAUAACACAUGAAACCGCAUGGUUUCAUGAUGAAAGACGGUUUUGCUGUCACUAUAGAUGGACCCGCGGCGUAUUAGCUAGUUGGUAAGGUAACGGCUACCAAGGCAACGAUACGUAGCCGACCUGAGAGGGUGAUCGGCCACACUGGAACUGAGACACGGUCCAGACUCCUACGGGAGGCAGCAGUAGGGAACUUCCGCAAUGGGCGAAAGCCUGACGGAGCAACGCCGCGUGAGUGAUGAAGGUCUUCGGAUCGUAAAACUCUGUUAUUAGGGAAGAACAAGGAUGUAAGUAACUAUGCAUCCCUUGACGGUACCUAAUCAGAAAGCCACGGCUAACUACGUGCCAGCAGCCGCGGUAAUACGUAGGUGGCAAGCGUUAUCCGGAAUAUUGGGCGUAAAGCGCGCGUAGGCGGUUUUUUAAGUCUGAUGUGAAAGCCCACGGCUCAACCGUGGAGGGUCAUUGGAAACUGGAAAACUUGAGUGCAGAAGAGGAAAGUGGAAUUCCAUGUGUAGCGGUGAAAUGCGCAGAGAUAUGGAGGAACACCAGUGGCGAAGGCGACUUUCUGGUCUGCAACUGACGCUGAUGGCGAAAGCGUGGGGAUCAAACAGGAUUAGAUACCCUGGUAGUCCACGCCGUAAACGAUGAGUGCUAAGUGUUAGGGGGUUUCCGCCCCUUAGUGCUGCAGCUAACGCAUUAAGCACUCCGCCUGGGGAGUACGGCCGCAAGGCGAAACUCAAAGGAAUUGACGGGGACCCGCACAAGCGGUGGAGCAUGUGGUUUAAUUCGAAGCAACGCGAAGAACCUUACCAAAUCUUGACAUCCUUUGACAACUCUAGAGAUAGAGCUUUCCCCUUCGGGGGACAAAGUACAGGUGGUGCAUGGUUGUCGUCAGCUCGUGUCGUGAGAUGUUGGGUUAAGUCCCGCAACGAGCGCAACCCUAAGCUUAGUUGCCAGCAUUAAGUUGGGCACUCUAAGUUGACUGCCGGUGACAAACC
rnacentral:rRNA from 1 species